rnacentral:rRNA from 1 species
UACGUAGGGGGCAAGCGUUGUCCGGAAUCAUUGGGCGUAAAGAGCGUGUAGGCGGCUCGGUAAGUCUGCUGUGAAAGUCCAGGCUCAACCCUGGGAUGCCGGUGGAUACUGUCGGGCUCGAGUCCGGAAGAGGCGAGUGGAAUUCCUGGUGUAGCGGUGAAAUGCGCAGAUAUCAGGAGGAACACCAAUGGCGAAGGCAGCUCGCUGGGACGUGACUGACGCUGAGACGCGAAAGCGUGGGGAGCGAACAGG